ACAACAAAAUGUUGAUUCACUU
rnacentral:snRNA from 1 species